UAUCCAUGGUUUCCAUUUGAAGUAUUUUGGUUGUAGGAAAUAGACCUGAGCGCAAUUGAAUGCGCCAUAGCACCGGCGCUCGAGGAGUAUCCGGAUCAAACACUGUUAACAAAUCGAAAAGUAAGCCAACAGGCCAAUGCCUAUAUUAUGAUUAAUUUACGGAAAGUUACUUUGGGUAAACGAUACCAUUUAAGAGGAACCCCAUUAUAAUCCAACCAACAUUCUGAUAAAGGGAUUGAAGGUGCCAACAGACGUUGAACAUUUGGGAGUAUUUGAGCAAAAUAUGAUUGUCGCGGGACGUUAGCCUUAGGUAGAAUAUGGUGAGCAAAAAGGAAAAAAUAAAUUGAGUUAAAGAAUAUUAAAUUACUACUUGAGUGAACAAAUCACAUACUAGAUAGGCCAGAGAAUUACCUUCAUAAUCAAUGCGCACAGAAAUAGUGCCAUUCCAAAGGAGCUCUGGAAUAUUGCCUUUAUUAUUAUCGACAUUCAUUUUUAAAAAACAUCUCCAAUACUGUGAUUAGAAAUUGUGCUUUUGUUGUAUACUUAACAAACUCGUGGGUGGUUGGAAUGCGUUGAUAA